UACAGAGGGUGCGAGCGUUAAUCGGAAUCACUGGGCGUAAAGCGCACGUAGGCGGCUUUCUAAGUCAGGGGUGAAAUCCUGGAGCUCAACUCCAGAACUGCCUUUGAUACUGGGAAGCUCGAGUCCGGAAGAGGUGAGUGGAACUGCGAGUGUAGAGGUGAAAUUCGUAGAUAUUCGCAAGAACACCAGUGGCGAAGGCGGCUCACUGGUCCGGUACUGACGCUGAGGUGCGAAAGCGUGGGGAGCAAACAGG
rnacentral:rRNA from 1 species